GUAUCAAACCUGCCUCAUACUCGGGGAUAGCCUUGCGAAAGUAAGAUUAAUACCCGAUGUUGUUACGUUACCGCAUGGUGAUAUAACCAAAGAUUUAUCGGUAUGAGAUGGUGAUGCGUCCGAUUAGGUAGUAGGCGGGGUAACGGCUCACCUAGCCAUCGAUCGGUAGGGGUUCUGAGAGGAAGGUCCCCCACACUGGAACUGAGACACGGUCCAGACUCCUACGGGAGGCAGCAGUGAGGAAUAUUGGUCAAUGGACGAAAGUCUGAACCAGCCAAGUAGCGUGCAGGAUGACGGCCCUCUGGGUUGUAAACUGCUCUUAGUUGGGAAUAAAAAAGAGGACGUGUCCUCUCUUGUAUGUACCUUCAGAAAAAGGACCGGCUAAUUCCGUGCCAGCAGCCGCGGUAAUACGGAAGGUCCAGGCGUUAUCCGGAUUUAUUGGGUUUAAAGGGAGCGUAGGCGGAUUAUUAAGUCAGUGGUGAAAGUCGGUGGCUCAACCAUCGUUAGCCAUUGAAACUGGUAGUCUUGAGUGCAGACAGGGAUGCUGGAACUCGUGGUGUAGCGGUGAAAUGCUUAGAUAUCACGAUGAACUCCGAUCGCGAAGGCAGGUGUCCGGGCUGCAACUGACGCUGAGGCUCGAAAGUGUGGGUAUCAAACAGGAUUAGAUACCCUGGUAGUCCACACAGUAAACGAUGUAUACUCGCGGUUUGCGAUAUAA
rnacentral:rRNA from 1 species